CGGAAUUGCUAAAAUGCUAACUCAUUUACGGGGUUUGGCCUACAAAAAUACAUUAUCCCUGCAUCACUCUAUUUGUCCAUUGUUUUUCUCCACAGGUCUUGCUGUGUUUUUCUCGAGACACUGCAGUCCUGGAGCAUUUCAGCUACAACAGCGCUACACCACCUAAAUCUUGCAUCCAAAACAAGUCUGGCUCAGAGCAGUGUGCUAUGGUUUACCCCCCGAAUGGUGUCAUCCCAUUUCAUGGCUUCUCAAUGUAUGUUGCUCCACUGUGUUUCUUAUAUAACGAGCCGUCGAAGCUGUACAGAGUGUUUAGAGAGAUGUAUAUUCGCUACCUCUUCAGACUACACUCUAUCUCCUCACAUCCAUCUGUAAGUAUC